rnacentral:rRNA from 1 species
UACAGAGGGUGCAAGCGUUGUUCGGAAUUAUUGGGCGUAAAGGGCGCGUAGGCGGUGCGGUAAGUCACCUGUGAAACCUCUGGGCUUAACUCAGAGCCUGCAGGCGAAACUGCCGUGCUUGAGUGUGGGAGAGGUGCGUGGAGUUCCCGGUGUAGCGGUGAAAUGCGUAGAUAUCGGGAGGAACACCUGUGGCGAAAGCGGCGCACUGGACCACAACUGACGCUGAGGCGCGAAAGCUAGGGGAGCAAACAGG